rnacentral:tRNA from 3 species
UGGGGUAUGGUGUAAUUGGCAACACGGCUGAUUCUGGUUCAGUUGUUCUAGGUUCGAGUCCUAGUACCCCAGCCA